GUAGGUGACCUCUGGAGACCCUGGCAGGGUGGCAGCCAGACUUUCUGAAGGGCUAAGACAAGGACUGUGGUGAUGGCAGGAAGCCAGGUAGCUUCUCUCUACAGAUCAACUUUUCUUGCUGCUCUGACCAGACCUCUGCUCUGUUCAAGGGAGAAGCCCCGUUCUAGGUAAAAUCUGAGUCCCAAUUCCAUUUUCCUGUGAGAGAGAAACUGUCUCACCUGGGUUGGGUCCUGUCUACUGGAGCUGAAGGGGAGGAUCUGAUGGGAGUUUCUGCUUGCUGGGGAGAGAGUGGUCAUGGCCCUCAUGAAAGGCUAAGCAGAUACCACCCCCCAGAAAAUCUGAUUUGCUUCAGUGGGGCCCCUCCAAUCACUCAGUUGGUAGCUCAGGGGUUCUUGAUGCUAGCCACACUCCAAAAAUCUCCUGGGGAGCCUUAAAAAGCAUUGUGCCCAGGGGUGUACACGUGGGGUGUACCCAGGGCAUCAGCAUUUUUCAAAGCAACGCUGGUGAUUCCAGCAUGCAAUAGCAAUAACUAAAUAGGGAACCUAGAGCCAAUUUAGCCAUUUCCUAAAUAUACGGUCUCAAAGUACAACCAAUUAGGAGGAAAAAUAUGAAAACCUAAUGGGUUGCACAUGGGUUAUUUUCAUUUAAUUGGAGACUGACAUCCUAAUCCCAAAGUUAAAUGCCAUGAUUAUUCACAUUUGACAUUUUCUAAACCUCUUGGUGUAAAUGUUCAGUUACAUUCCUAAAGAAACUUGCCUUUUCUGGAGAUCCUGAGGUACCAAAAACAAAGGCUGUCUCCCCAUGGCUUUGGUUGACCUGCCCCUCCUUUUCCAAGGUCUCCAGCUUGGCUCAGGCAGUCCCAAAGCUCCCAACCCUGAAGCACACUGACCUUGCUGGCUCCCAUCCCAGGCCCAUGCUUCAGGGUUCCCACCCAGGAGCCUCUGACACAGGAGACCAAAGAGGAGCGACACUGCCUCCUCAGCCAAGCUGGCAAAUGCUGAUCAAAACCUUGGCCAAGUCCAUGGUGGCCUUGAGGAGGGUCUUCAUUUUGUUUUAUUUCCCCUCCCGGUAAGUUUCCCCAAACAGUUGUUCAGCCUAUCAGCAUAUAUCCCAUGAAUUGCUAUAAUAGACAAAGCGGGUGGGGGUGAGGGGAGCCUCACUCCCAGGACAUCCUGUCGCUGGCAGAAGUGCAACAGCGACCCCUCUAGGCCUAGCUUUUGUAUGGAUCCUAAGGAGCACAUUAAAGGGAUCCCUUCCUCAGGUCCUUUCCAUCCUGGAGCAGGGCUAGGACUCAAGCACACCUGUAGGGUGAGGGAUGGUAAGGAGAAGGAGCUGUCAUGCCUGGUUGUGUGCAAGAAUGAGGGUGGGGGAUGCUGCUGUCCUCAUGCCUGAACCAUCCUGAAAGCUGUUAUCUGCCCCAAGAACUAAAUGGCACAGACGGUGAGACCAAAUUGCCUCUGAAAGCUGGGAAAGGCGGUCAACACAAAGGUCAGUGACUGAUGGGGGAUGUAUAGAGGGUGGAGGUGGGAACACAUACCAGGACCAUCUUACGGCCACAGUAAAGGCUUGGAGAUGCCAAAUAAAGCCUAAGGUAGUGGUUUUCAUUUUGUCUUUUUAUUUUACUUUUUUUCAGUGGCAUCCAUGGCAUGCAGAAGUGUUGGGACCAGGAAUCAAACUCAGAUCACAGCAAUGACAGCACCUUAACCCGCUGUGGCACCAGGGAACUCCGAGGGUAGUGGGUUUUUAAAGUGUGGAACCUGGAUCAUCAGCAUUAUCUGGGACCUUACUGAAAUGCAAAUUCUCAGAUGAUUCAAAGCCACUGAACCAGCAACUCCAGGGGUGGGGACAGCAAUUCUCAUCCUCCAGGUGAUUCUUACACACAAUCAAGUUGAAGAAACAAUGGACUGCUCCAGGGAAUGCAGGAAGGGGAGGGGCUCUUUCCAGACACUGAUUUCCAUCCCACAGCCCAAGCACAAAUAAUAUUCUAUUAAUCACGACAACUUUAAAAUAGGAUGGAAAGGAGUUCCUACUGUGGUACAAUGGGAUGUGUGGCGUCUCUGCAGCACCAGGAUACAAGUUUGAUUCCCAGCCCCUGGCCUUGGGAGCUCCAUAUGCCUCGGAAACAGAAUGGAAGAAAAAAAAAAAAGCAUGGAAAGUCAACAAUCAUCCAAAGUCUGAUCACUAACAAAGCAGGGAUCGCUUCAAUGGCAGACAAGUCACUGAAGCCAAGGAGACCAAAUUCCAGAAUUUUGUGGAGACUGAGGGCAAGGAGAAACUCUCUUUCCACCAAGACUGAUAGCUCUAGAGAAGACAUAAGCCUGGAACUCUUGAGGGCACCCAAGUGGAGAAAUUCUGCCUGAGAGUGAAGUCAGUGCAAAGGAAAGCAGAACAGACAGGAGAGAUUGAGUUCCAACCACAUUGUUUGAGCUCCUGGUUCCAGCCAUACCUGAAGACUUGCCAUGGGUUUUCAGUGAUAUAAACCAACUAAUUCCCUUAAAUAAAAAAAAUUGUGGGAGUUCCUGCUGUGGUACAGUGGGUAAAUGAUCCAGAUUGUCUCUGUGGAGUUUCUGGUUCAAUCUCUAGCACAGUGGGUUAAGGAUCUGGUUCAGCCAGUCCUAGCUCUGACCCAGGAACU